UCCCUUAGCCGAGUUAGUUGAAACCUUUGUAAAGCGCGAAUGAAAAGACUAACAUGGCGAACGAACACCGUACAUUCAAAGGGGAGUGCAUUUAUAUUGAGUGCUUAAACGAAAACUCGUUUCUUAUCAAGAAAGGCUUUGUCCCAAACAUGAAGGUAUCUUAGAUAUAUAAAUGAGUUGCUUGAAAAGCAAGUGUUUGAUGAGCUGAAGCACUGGGCUGGAACUCAAGAGAUCAGUUGGACUACCAGAUGUUCAUUCUGGCUGUGGAUUUGCUAUUGCUAUUGAGGUGAUCCACAAGUAUCAGUCAGCUGGACCAAGGAUGGAGUGCUACUUAGUAAAAACAACAGCCUGGUUAUUAGACAAGUGACAUUUAAAGAUAAGGGCAAUUAUGAAUGUACUGCUAAAUAUGAUUAUGGCAAAGCAAACUCUUCCUUCCAGAUGGAUGUCAGAGGAUUGGAAAUCAUUGAAAUUAUCACCACAACAGAGAAAUGGAUCUUACCAUGUAUGUAUGGAGUCACAUCCUAAAAGGAAAAAUUUGGAGAAAAAUAUAUAAUGGUAAGUACCUUGUUUUCAAUUUAGUGGUUUCAGUGUUAUUAUAUCACAGAUUAAUUUAAGGACUUCACUUUUUCAAAGCAUGGCCAAGGAAAAGACCUGGAUUAAUCACAUUGAUUUAGUUUGA